rnacentral:rRNA from 1 species
UACGUAGGGUGCGAGCGUUGUCCGGAAUUAUUGGGCGUAAAGGGCUCGUAGGCGGUUUGUCGCGUCGGGAGUGAAAUCCUACGGCUUAACUGUGGGCUUGCUUUCGAUACGGGCAGACUGGAGGUAUGCAGGGGAGAACGGAAUUCCUGGUGUAGCGGUGAAAUGCGCAGAUAUCAGGAGGAACACCGGUGGCGAAGGCGGUUCUCUGGGCAUGUCCUGACGCUGAGGAGCGAAAGUGUGGGGAGCGAACAGG